CCUACGGGAGGCAGCAGUCGAGAAUCAUUCACAAUGGGGGAAACCCUGAUGGUGCGACGCCGCGUGGGGGAAUGAAGGUCUUCGGAUUGUAAACCCCUGUCAUGUGGGAGCAAAUUAAAAAGAUAGUACCACAAGAGGAAGAGACGGCUAACUCUGUGCCAGCAGCCGCGGUAAGACAGAGGUCUCAAGCGUUGUUCGGAAUCACUGGGCGUAAAGCGUGCGUAGGCUGUUUCGUAAGUCGUGUGUGAAAGGCGCGGGCUCAACCCGCGGACGGCACAAGAUACUGCGAGACUAGAGUAAUGGGGGGGGAACGGGAAUUCUCGGUGUAGCAGUGAAAUGCGUAGAUAUCGAGAGGAACACUCGGGGCGAAGGCGGGUUCCUGGACAUUAACUGACGCGGAGGCACGAAGGCCAGGGGAGCGAAAGGGAUUAGAUACCCUGGUAGUC
rnacentral:rRNA from 1 species